AUGCAGGUGUCCAUCCAUUCAUGUGCUCAUGCACGCAUACACACAUUCAUGCAUGCGUGUGGGCAUCCACCCAUGGACACACACAUAUGCACGAUAUACCCAUGUACGUGCAUGCAUACGUGUGGGCAUCCACGCACCUGCAUGCACCCAUAUACAGGCAUGCACUCAUCCAUCCGUGCACACACACCCAUGCACACAAUGUACCCUAUACAUGCAUGCACAUCAUGCACCCAUAUACACACAUGCACGCGGUAUCCAUCCAUGCAUGCACACAUACAUGCACACACAUGCGUGCACACAACGUACCCUACCCACACACACACAUGUGGGCAUCCCUCCAUGCACACACUCUUAUAUGCACACACACAUACCCAUGUGCACCCAUAUACACGCAUGCAUGCAGAUAUCCAUCCAUGCGCACACACAUGCACACACGGGUACACACAAUGUACCCUAUACACACAUGCACACACUCUUAUAUGCACGCACACAUACAUGCACAGACACAUACCCGUGUGCACCCAUAUACAUGCAUGCAUGCACAUAUCCAUCCAUGCACACACACAUGCAUGCACACACACAUGCACACAAUGUACCCUAACGACGCAUGCACACGUGUGGGCAUCCAUCCAUGCACACACAUACCCGUGUGCACCCAUAUACAUGCAUGCAUCCAUUCAUGCACGCACACAUAGAUGCACACACACACGCACACAAGGUACCCUAUCCAUGCAUGCACACAUGUGGCAUCCAUCCAUGCACACACUCUUAUAUGCACACACACAUACAUGCACACACAUACCCACGUGCACCCAUAUACACACAUGCACGCAGAUAUCCAUCCAUGCACACACAUACAUGCACACACGGGUACACACAAUGUACCCUAUACACACAUGCACACUCUUAUAUGUACGCACACAUACAUGUACAAAUACCCGUGUGCACCCAUAUACAUGCAUGCAUGCACGUAUCCAUCCAUGCAUACACACAUGCACACAAGGUACCCUAUCCACGCAUGCACACGUGUGGGCAUCCAUCCAUGCACGCACUCCCACUUGCACACACACAUCCAUGUACGUGAGCUUGCAAACACAUUUGGGGGACUGGAAGAAAAAUGGCAGAACAUUGAGCACUGAUGAUGGGUGA
rnacentral:lncRNA from 12 species